GGGAGCCUUAAAAUCCUGGGCAGUGUGGGGCAGGAUCUGGGGCCCCCACAGGCUCCUGCGUGGCACACGCACGUGAGUGAGUGACAGAUCCAGUUUUCCCUCACAGCUGCUGCCUGGGAGCCCAGCCUGGCCCAGGAGCCCCAGCCCGGGUCCGACCCGGUCGGGGAGCUCUCGGGCGCCCUUCAGAGCCUGGACCUGGCAGAGGUAGGGCGGGGCUGCGGGGCAGGGGGUGGGCCGGGUUUGGGGCGGUGGCGGGAGGUGUCUGAUCCGACCUGUGGCCACAGGGCCGGGGGGACAGCCGGGACGUGGUGUGCGGCAUCUGCAGGGAGCGCGUGUGGGAGAAGCCGGCGGCCGAGCGCGCCUUCGGGAUCCUGCCCAACUGCAGCCACGCCCACUGCCUGCGCUGCCUGCGCACCUGGCGCCGGACGCCGCGCCUGCCGCUGGACGUCAUCAAGUCAGUGUCGCCUCUGGGUCCCCGCAGCUGCCCGGGCCGCGGGGUCCUGACCGUCCCCGCCCUUCCACCCCGCCCCUGCAGGGCCUGUCCCCAGUGUCGCGUCUACUCCAGCUACAUCAUCCCCUACAAGUUCUGGGUGAGCGAGGGGCCUGAGAAGGAGCAGCUCAUCCGGACCUUCACCGCCCGGACCCGCCAGAUCCAGUGCCGGUUCUUCAUGCGGGGGAAUGGCCGCUGCCCGUUCAGAUCCAACUGCAUCUACCUGCACCAGCUCCCGGAGCAGGCCCUGGCCUCUGGUCCUCCCUGGCCCGGGAGCCUGCAACUGGCUCCCAGCAGUGAGGUGGGGGCCGCAGAUGUGGGGGUUCAUAAUUCAUGUCCACAAUGACUUCGAGCUUCCAUUUGACAACUGUGCAGUAGAUAGGUAGAUGGUCCCAGGCCUAAUGUGGCCCUACUGACCUGGGGUGAACCCUGUUCCCUGGUCCAGGCUCCUGUGGCUGAGGCUGGUCCCUCUCUCCCCCCAGGUGCUGGUCCCAGUGUUGUUCCUGGGGGCCACCAGGCCAGAGGAGCAUGUGUCCUUCCCAGGCCCUGUCCUGGUCCCCUGGGACUCCGAGUUCCUGCUGGAUCAUGGCAGCUCCUAGUGUGGCUUCCUGCACGGGCAGGGGACAGGAUGCCGGGUGGCAGGCCUUCCCCUUGGGGUUCAGUGUUGGGGAAAGUAGCAGGUCCUCCACUCAUAGCUGGGGACAUGCGGGGGGGUUGUGUGUGUGACUCAGAACAAGGAAGAGUCUCACUGCUUGCCAGAGCCUUGGUUUUUAGCUUUGCUCUUUUGUAGAAGGAUUUUGAAAGAAAACCAAUAAAAUGCACCUAAUGCAUGCUGUGA
rnacentral:lncRNA from 1 species